ACCAUAUUUGUUUCGGGAAUCGGAUUUAAACAAAACCGUCUCAAGCAAUUUGUUUCAUGAGGUUAACGUCAGCUACAACCAUUAUUUUUAUCAACUGUUUGAAAUUCCACAAGCACACAGAUGAACAAAUGCGAAACAUAUGUGAAACACCAGUAACCGUACAAUGCCUUGCACGCAGACGAUUAACCUAAGGUUCUCCACCAAGCUCCACCCGCAAGUU
rnacentral:misc_RNA from 1 species